GCAAGUCGAGCGCGCCCUUCGGGGUGAGCGGCGGACGGGUGAGUAACGCGUGGGAACAUACCCUUUUCUACGGAAUAGCCUCGGGAAACUGAGAGUAAUACCGUAUACGCCCUUCGGGGGAAAGAUUUAUCGGAGAAGGAUCGGCCCGCGUUAGAUUAGAUAGUUGGUGGGGUAACGGCCUACCAAGUCUACGAUCUAUAGCUGGUUUGAGAGGAUGAUC
rnacentral:rRNA from 1 species